AACCAACAGGGAUUGCCCUAGUAACGGCGAGUGAAGCGGCAACAGCUCAAAUUUGAAAUCUGGCUCUUUCAGAGUCCGAGUUGUAAUUUGCAGAGGGCGCUUUGGCUUUGGCAGCGGUCCAAGUUCCUUGGAACAGGACGUCACAGAGGGUGAGAAUCCCGUACGUGGUCGCUAGCUAUUGCCGUGUAAAGCCCCUUCGACGAGUCGAGUUGUUUGGGAAUGCAGCUCUAAAUGGGAGGUAAAUUUCUUCUAAAGCUAAAUAUUGGCCAGAGACCGAUAGCGCACAAGUAGAGUGAUCGAAAGAUGAAAAGCACUUUGGAAAGAGAGUCAAACAGCACGUGAAAUUGUUGAAAGGGAAGCGCUUGCAGCCAGACUUGCUUGCAGUUGCUCAUCCGGGCUUUUGCCCGGUGCACUCUUCUGUAGGCAGGCCAGCAUCAGUUUGGGCGGUGGGAUAAAGGUCUCUGUCACGUACCUCUCUUCGGGGAGGCCUUAUAGGGGAGACGACAUACCACCAGCCUGGACUGAGGUCCGCGCAUCUGCUAGGAUGCUGGCGUAAUGGCUGUAAGCGGCCCGUCUUGAAACACGGACCAAGGAGUCUAACAUCUAUGCGAGUGUUUGGGUGUCAAGCCCGAGCGCGUAAUGAAAGUGAACGGAGGUGGGAACCCGCAAGGGUGCACCAUCGACCGAUCCUGAAGUUUACGGAAGGAUUUGAGUAAGAGCAUGGCUGUUGGGACCCGAAAGAUGGUGAACUAUGCUUGAAUAGGGUGAAGCCAGAGGAAACUCUGGUGGAGGCUCGCAGCGGUUCUGACGUGCAAAUCGAUCGUCAAAUUUGGGCAUAGGGGCGAAAGACUAAUCGAACUAUCUAGUAGCUGGUUCCUGC
rnacentral:rRNA from 1 species